ACAGAGACCUCAAACGUUGUCCGGAAUUACUGGGCGUAAAGGGCGUGUAGGCGGCACGGUAAGUCAACCGUGAAAGCUCCCGGCUAAACUGGGGGAGGUCGGAUGAGACUGCCGAGCUAGAGGGUCGUAGAGGGGUGUGGAAUUCCGGGUGUAGUGGUGAAAUGCGUAGAGAUCCGGAGGAACACCAGAGGCGAAGGCGGCACCCUGGACGACACCAGACGCUGAGACGCGACAGCACGGGGAGCGAACGG
rnacentral:rRNA from 1 species